GUUUCGCUUCCGCACCGUGCCUUGGUCUCCCUUGUUGGGAGAGAGCGAGUGAGCUCAGCAGCUUCACCACGUUGAGUGAGGGAUUGCUCGUCACAGACAGGAGGAAUGGUGGGCCAAGGCCUUGGCAUAAUGGCACCUCAACGUGGUGCUGACCACUGAACCCCAAGAUUAAAGCCAACAUGGUGCUCACCACUGAACUCUGAGACGAGUGCUGGAGGAAGAAGUAUGAAAAAGAAUGUGUUGCUGCCUGCCAGACGAUGAUGGUAGACCCAUAAAUGCUGUCUUCUGAACCCGAAGAGAAAUCGGAGAAAUCGGUGAAAGUGCGGCUGAUCGGCUUUCCCCAAAAAGCAAGGAAGAGGUGACCAGACGUGAGGAACCCGCAAGAAAAAUAUCGGUGGAUAUCAGUUGUGAAUGUGACCUGCAUUUGGCUGCAUGAUUUCCCAGGUAUGAGGUGAUGAGUUGGCUGCAGUGCACAUUGAGUGUGUAUGGAAUGUGCAUACAAAGGACCCUGUGCUUUGGAUGAGGAGCAGGCUCUUCCUCUACUCCUGCCCAGACUCCUAAGAAGCAACAUGUGAUCUGCCC